GAUGAACGCUAGCGGCAGGCUUAACACAUGCAAGUCGAGGGGUAUAUAGUUUUCGGAUUAUAGAGACCGGCAAACGGGUGCGGAACACGUACGCAAUCUGCCUCUGUCUUGGGGAUAGCCCAUAGAAAUGUGGAUUAAUACCCAAUAGUAUUAUAGAGUGGCAUCACUUAGUAAUUAAAGAUUUAUUGGACAGAGAUGAGCGUGCGUCCCAUUAGCUAGUCGGUGCGGUAACGGCGUACCAAGGCGACGAUGGGUAGCUGGUGUGAGAGCACGACCAGCCACACGGGCACUGAGACACGGGCCCGACUCCUACGGGAGGCAGCAGUGAGGAUAUUGGUCAAUGGGCGGAAGCCUGAACCAGCCAUGCCGCGUGAAGGAUGAAGGCGUUCUGCGUUGUAAACUUCUUUAUUUGGGAAGAAAUUGUGGUUUCUACUGCAACCGACGGUACCAGAUGAAUAAGCACCGGCUAACUCCGUGCCAGCAGCCGCGGUAAU
rnacentral:rRNA from 1 species